rnacentral:rRNA from 1 species
UACGUAGGGGGCAAGCGUUGUCCGGAAUCAUUGGGCGUAAAGCGCGUGUAGGCGGCUUGGUAAGUCCGCUCUGAAAGCCCGGGGCUCAACCCCGGGAGGCGGGUGGAUACUGUCAAGCUCGAGUCCGGAAGAGGCGAGUGGAACUGCGAGUGUAGAGGUGAAAUUCGUAGAUAUUUGCAAGAACACCAGUGGCGAAGGCGGCUCACUGGCCCGGUACUGACGCUGAGGUGCGAAAGCGUGGGGAGCAAACAGG